rnacentral:rRNA from 1 species
GACGAACGCUGGCGGCGUGCUUAACACAUGCAAGUCGAACGGUAAGGCCCUUCGGGGUACACGAGUGGCGAACGGGUGAGUAACACGUGGGUGAUCUGCCCUGCACUUCGGGAUAAGCCUGGGAAACUGGGUCUAAUACCGGAUAGGACCCUGGGAUGCAUGUCCUGGGGUGGAAAGCUUUUGCGGUGUGGGAUGGGCCCGCGGCCUAUCAGCUUGUUGGCGGGGUGAUGGCCUACCAAGGCGACGACGGGUAGCCGGCCUGAGAGGGUGACCGGCCACACUGGGACUGGGCUACGGCCCAGACUCCUACGGGAGGCAGCAGUGGGGAAUAUUGCACAAUGGGCGCAAGCCUGAUGCAGCGACGCCGCGUGAGGGAUGACAGCCUUCGGGUUGUAAACCUCUUUCAGCACCGACGAAGCGCAAGUGACGGUAGGUGCAGAAGAAGGACCGGCCAACUACGUGCCAGCAGCCGCAGUAA